AACGAACGCUGGCGGCAGGCUUAACACAUGCAAGUCGAACGCCCCGCAAGGGGAGUGGCAGACGGGUGAGUAACGCGUGGGAAUCUACCCAACCCUACGGAACAACUCCGGGAAACUGGAGCUAAUACCGUAUACGCCCUUAGGGGGAAAGAUUUAUCGGGGAUGGAUGAGCCCGCGUUGGAUUAGCUAGUUGGUGGGGUAAAGGACUACCAAGGCGACGAUCCAUAGCUGGUCUGAGAGGAUGAUCAGCCACAUUGGGACUGAGACACGGCCCAAACUCCUACGGGAGGCAGCAGUGGGGAAUAUUGGACAAUGGGCGCAAGCCUGAUCCAGCCAUGCCGCGUGAGUGAUGAAGGUCUUAGGAUUGUAAAGCUCUUUCGCCGGAGAAGAUAAUGACGGUAUCCGGAGAAGAAGCCCCGGCUAACUUCGUGCCAGCAGCCGCCGUAA
rnacentral:rRNA from 1 species